GUCUCCAAAAGCAUCUAUAGAGGGACUGUUUAAACGAAUAGUUUUUGUUCUGUACUGUAUAACAUUAGCUAAUAGCGUGUGUGUCUGCAUACAGACAUCGCUCUACCAUCAGACAAGUCAGUGGGUUGGAUUCUUUUUUUGUGUGUGACACCUGCUUCCUGAAGCAAUGCUGCGAAAUCAAGCAGCAUGUUUCCUGUUGUCGAACUUUAUACCUCGUACGAUGACAGGUUGUUUGAGCAGAUUAAACAUGUUUCUUCUGCUGAUCUGUUGGAUUAUAACAGGAAUAAUGGCUGAGGAUUCAACAUUUAUACACUAUGGACUGAAACACAGCUCAGUGUGCCUUUAUGUGCAAAAAAACCCACCAUACACACGCGGUCAGUGGAAGUUUGGGAAAACAUUCAUUGCUUCUGAUGCAGAAAUUAAUCCCACCUAUACAGCAAACGUUGUUUAUCGUGGAAACGGGUCCUUGUGUAUUAAUGAGCUGACUGACAGAGAUGCCGGCACCUAUGAAUUCAGUUUCUUUUCUAACUGGACUGAGUUAACAGAGACACACAUGGUCAUUGUUGAAGAAAAGGUUCCUGAACCGGUCAUUAGAAUGUCAGGGCUUCCUUUCAACCUGUCAGCUGGACUCUGUAACUUCACAGUGAACUGCUCCGUCCAACACGAGUGGCUGUCGUCUGUCUGUGAAGCAGAUGGUUGCAGAACAUCUCAAAGGUCAUUCAGCAAAGUCAACAUCACCAUCUCCACCAACAACAGAAGUGUGGUCUGCAGGGGCAACAACCAUGUCAGUGCAAAUAAUGUUACUGGAAACAUAGAUGUGUGCUUCAGUAAAUCUGACCCUGAACCAGAAGAGGAACCCCAACAUCACAAUGUCAUAAUAAUACUUGUUGCCAUCUGUGUAUUCCUAUGUGGAUGUGUGGUCUUUGUGGUGAAGUGCCGCUCGCCACGAACAUGCUAUAAAAAGGAACAUACUGCUCAACCCAGAGCCUCGACAUCUUCCAGCCACUCUGAGGCUUCAUAUGAGUACGUGGACAUCCUGCUCAGUGCAAAGUCAGAAGGUGGACACGGUGUACAGCAUUUUACAGAGGCCGAAGGAUACAAAGGGAAACGAGAACAUACAAGUUGCUGUACCUUCACCCCAGUGGAGACCCAGCACCCCGUGCAAGUUGACACUGUGUACAGGAUGCUGAAGAAGCCAAAAAGAGGUCAGAGCACCACCUAGAGGACCAAACAGAGUAGUACAAGACCAGUGAAGUGAAAGACCAUACAAGUCAAAUCUUCAUCUGUACAUUUUGUACAGAUGAAGAUUUGUUUGUUGGUUUAUUUGUUUGUUGAAGCCUUUUUUCAGUGGUUCCCUAAAUUCCAAAUAGGUUGCCUAGUCCAAUAUGACAGGCACAAGCAGCCAAAGAGUUCAACAUUCCAUUAAGAUACAGUAUGGAAUAUUAACCCCCACAAUGUAGUGUGGAUCUUGCACCUAUUUUACUGAAAGAGUGUCUUUAUUGUUUUGUUUUAUAAUUGCUAUUUUUGUCUGAACAUGGACCUCCAGACCUUACCUUCAGUUGAUUCUGUUUGGACUGUUUAAACUCCGUAUUUUAACUUCGUGUUUUUUUUCUCUUCACUGUGGUCUUUGCUGUAUUCUAUUUUUUUUAAAUCCAUUAUAUUUUUAAAUACUUUGAUCGACUGCUGUUUGCUGAAUUAGCCCUGUGUGAAUCCACAUGGCACGCACUUCAAUGUAACACAUGCUUAUUUAUUUAUAUAGAUCUUGGCCUGUACUAUGUGGUGGUGUAGAUGGAAGGUCUUUCCAUACAAUGACCAAAAGGGGGCGACAGACUACAGCUUUGUUAGGAACACCUUUAAAAGCCAGUCAGCCACUCUUGUUCAUUUUUGUUUAAAUAAUUAUGUAGUCACAUUAAAUACAUUUGAAUGAAUCUUGAUUUUGUUGAAGGCAGCUGAAAUAUCCUCCCUUCAGAACAUUCAUGUUAGGUUUUGUUGUUUAUCGGCUGUCAGUUUGUUAUGAAGGAGAUGGAGCCACAGAGGUCUGGGUGUCUUUGGUUGACCCUGAUGGACUCACUUCAUUGUGUACUUUAGUUUGUAAUGAUGGACUGCGUGUACAUAGACAAAGUUUGAAUGAAUAAAACAGUCUGUGUUUUAAAGAAUGUUCCA
ensembl:lncRNA uncharacterized LOC114450888